rnacentral:tRNA from 1 species
GCCCCCAUCGUCUAGUGGCCCAGGACACCGCCCUUUCAAGGCGGCGGCGGGGAUUCGAAUUCCCCUGGGGGCACCA